rnacentral:rRNA from 1 species
AUUGAACGCUGGCGGCAGGCCUAACACAUGCAAGUCGAGCGGAUGACGGGAGCUUGCUCCUUGAUUCAGCGGCGGACGGGUGAGUAAUACCUAGGAAUCUGCCUGAUAGUGGGGGACAACGUUUCGAAAGGAACGCUAAUACCGCAUACGUCCUACGGGAGAAAGCAGGGGACCUUCGGGCCUUGCGCUAUCAGAUGAGCCUAGGUCGGAUUAGCUAGUUGGUGAGGUAAUGGCUCACCAAGGCGACGAUCCGUAACUGGUCUGAGAGGAUGAUCAGUCACACUGGAACUGAGACACGGUCCAGACUCCUACGGGAGGCAGCAGUGGGGAAUAUUGGACAAUGGGCGAAAGCCUGAUCCAGCCAUGCCGCGUGUGUGAAGAAGGUCUUCGGAUUGUAAAGCGCUUUAAGUUGGGAGGAAGGGUUGUAGAUUAAUACUCUGCAAUUUUGACGUUACCGACAGAAUAAGCACCGGCUAACUCUGUGCCAGCCGCCGCCGUAACAC